UACGUAGGGACCAAGCGUUGUCCGGAAUCAUUGGGCGUAAAGCGCGCGUAGGUGGCCAUUUAAGUCCGCUGUGAAAGUCAGAGGCUCAACCUUUGAAAGCCGGUGGAUACUGGAUGGCUAGAGUACGGAAGAGGCGAGUGGAAUUCCUGGUGUAGCGGUGGAAUGCGCAGAUAUCAGGAGGAACACCAAUAGCGAAGGCAGCUCGCUGGGACGUUACUGACACUAAGGCGCGAAAGCGUGGGAGCGAACAGG
rnacentral:rRNA from 1 species